ACUCGGGCACGAUCCUUACGCGCACAGUUAAUCUUUGCCAGUGCAGCACUACGCAGCGAUACGCAUAGUGUGCGGGCGAAUUUCAUAUUGUGCGGAGAGAGGGAACCGACCCGUAGUUCAACCCUGAGGGA
rnacentral:ncRNA from 1 species